UUGGUAAGAAAGCCACAUAGUAUCCAUUGAGCUGGGCUAAGAAUAUAAGGUGUUGGCAAGAGGACUGGUUUGUGGGUUGAAAGACAUGUAUCCUUGGGCUAAAGAUGCCAUCUGUACUCUCUGUGGCAUACUGUUGGUAGGGUGACCUAAAUAGGGGUGACUGGUGCUCAAACAGUUUCUUGAAGUGUCUGUGACAGGAUUGUGGUAAGAUGUCAAAGCAUCAGACAAUGUAGUAUGUCUGUGAGUGGCAUGCCAAAUCAAGUUUGAGGGAGAGAACUCUCCAUACAUGCUGACCUGUCCAGCCAGCACCUGGUAUAAGAUCAAGGCUCCAGCCUACUCAAGGUUGAAGGACAUCUAUUUACACUACCCACCAGUGAUGAUCGACUCAGGAAUCAUGUGCUGCACAAUGUGGGUGAAAUAUUCUGUGAACCUGGCCCUUUGAGAGUGGGAGCAGAUGCCGACUGAAGGCAAAGAUGGGAACCAUGAACAGAGGUCUGGGAAGAAAUACAUGUGCAGAGAAUGCAUGGAGACAGCAGAUGAAAAACAAUGUGCUGCUCACCACCCUUGUUGUUUGUGAUGAACCAUUCCAUCAAACCUGGCUACAAGAAGUUCAAUCUGAAGACUGAAAACUCUCAAAAAAUACAGGAAAGGAUCCAAAAGAAGCAUUUCAGGAUUAAAGUUAUGAAAUUAUAAAAGAAGAUCAAGUGUAUGUUUCAACAGAGACCUGUAUCAUAGACUGCAAAAUUAACAACAAAAAACUAAUUUCCCAGUUUUGUAGCUGAAAAGAUAAAGAACAAGAUGCCGGCAUCUGUUUUCUCAGAUACCUUGCUACUGUCCUCUCAUAUGGUGAAACAGAGAAGUGAAAGAUUAUCACCAUGUUGUUACGGGGCAGAAGGAAUAAACUCACCCCAACUGACUCUUUCUACAAUGACAGCAGUCCUUAAUGAGGAUGAGAGCCUGAACAUCUCCCCAAAUGCCCACCUUUCAACUCUAGAGUCCUCAUGAUCCAACAUGAGCAUGUUUUAGAUAUUCCUAUCCCAGAGAGCACACAUUGAAACAUACACAUGAAGCUGGCUCCUGCCUGCUGAAAGAAUGGAAGCACAAUAAUAGUUAUUCCUCAGCCCCAUGGUGUCAGUGGG